UACGAAGGGUCCAAGCGUAGCGCGGAAUCACUGGGCUUAAAGGGUGCGUAGGCGGGCUUGCAAGUGCCUUGUGAAAGCCCCCGGCUUAACCGGGGAAUUGCUUGGUAGACUGCAAGUCUUGAGGUCGAAAGAGGCUGCCGGAACUGUAGGUGUAGCGGUGAAAUGCGUAGAUAUCUACAGGAACGCCAAAGGAGUAAUCAGGCAGCUGGUUCGAUUCUGACGCUGAGGCACGAAAGCAUGGGGAGCGAACAGG
rnacentral:misc_RNA from 1 species